GCUCGUCCGCUGCAGGGGUCCAGUCUAUAUCGGCCUCCUGAUAAGGCAGAGACAGCAGCAGAAGCGGCUACUGGAGAACCGUCGGUGUAGAGCGGAGAUCAGGCGCAGAGUACUCCAGAACUCUGUUAGGGCGGGGGUCCCCGGGGCCCGUCCUCCAGCCCUACUGUCCCCGAAAGCCGCCUCAGUGGUCCCCAGGGCCACCUAGAGCCCUGCUUCCCCCAACACCCCCACACUGGAGGGCCUUCAACGAGGGGGAGGAUAUCUUGUUUUUUGAUGACACACUUCUCUCUCCCCCAGCAGCACUAAGCCUAUCAGCCGCCAAAGUAGGUGGUGGUUAUCCUAUCAUUGUUGCACUUCACACUUUUAAAAUGCGGUAUUGUCAAGAGGGUAGAGGUUAAAGGUGAAGCUGUCCCUCACUUUUUAGUUGGCUACUCUGAAGGAGCUGAGAAGGAAGGGGUCGGGGAUGACCCCAACUCUGUGAAGAGGAAGAGGAGCAACAGUUCCGCCAUCAUCGUCAGAGUGCAGAAGAUUCUGUCCUCAUCUAAUGGUACACACCAAUCACACUGACCCAUACCAACACACACACACAGACCCAGAAGCAGCAUCCAUACUUAUACCCUUUCCUCUGCCUGCGUACAGUUGAACAGCCUGCGGUCAGGGAAGAAGCGCACGCCCAGAAAAUGAGGCGGGAACAAAUGGACUACGUCCUAUCAGAGGAGUGCCAGAAGAUCCUCAAUGCUAAGUCCCGCCAUGGGGCCGGACUUCAGGUGUUUUAGAAUAAUUCCUGGCGGAGUACCAUUUGCAGAAGCGCUACUUUGAUCCCCUGGUGAAGAAGGAGGCGAUGGAGGAGAAGAUGCGGAAAUUCUGAGAGCAGAAGUGUCGAGCGGUCACCUGUAAAAAGUGUAAGUACACCUACUUCAAGCCUGCUGAUGGCCGUGUUGAGGAGACGCGUGAGCUGUUUUUGUACUUCUUCAAAUGUCCCUGUGGACAGAAAGCCAUUGUGCUGGACCGCCUGCCACACAAACUAUUUAGUAACUGUGGCAUUCAAAUGGGAAAGAGAUGGCAUGCUGAAGGGAAGCGUCGUGUUUUUGUGGAUUUGUAGUUCAGCUGGACCGAGAAGUCGGGGCCCAAGAUUCUCAACCGCAUGAAGAAGUCCUCCCCUCUGAUCAUCACCGUCUUAGUUUUUAUCCUAUACAGCUCUUUAUUUUUAGGUCAUGCAACCAUUUUAAAGUCAUUAAUAGUUGAUUGUGGGUUUUAAAUGACUGUAUUGUUAAUGAAUUGGAUUGUUGCUUUGAGUAGUGUUUCCACCCCUGUUACAAAUGUGCUUAUUAAAUCCAGUGAUUUUCCAACAAUCUCAUCUGCCUUUUUGUCUGACUUGACUCACUUGAAGGAAUUGUCUCCUGUUCCUUAUUUGGUACUUGAUCUUAGAAGGACCAAGAUGGUUAGA
rnacentral:lncRNA from 1 species